AAGAUAAUUUUGUUAAACUUCUCUCUGAGUUUAACAUCCCAGAUGUCAAAAAAGUGUCCACAGGCCGUGAAGAAAUCUCAAAAGCCAUUGGAUCCAAGGCAGAUCUACUGGACUUGUGUCAUCGUCUGAGUGUUAAACCUUCUGGCGUCUUGCAGAUCAUGAA